rnacentral:rRNA from 1 species
AGCGAACGCUGGCGGCAGGCCUAACACAUGCAAGUCGAACGAACCUUUCGGGGUUAGUGGCGGACGGGUGAGAACACGUGGGAACGUGCCCUUAGGUUCGGAAUAACUCAGGGAAACUUGUGCUAAUACCGAAUGUGCCCUUCGGGGGAAAGAUUAAUCGCCUUUAGAGCGGCCCGCGUCUGAUUAGCUAGUUGGUUGAGGUAAUGGCUCACCAAGGCGACGAUCAGUAGCUGGUCUGAGAGGAUGAUCAGCCACAUUGGGACUGAGACACGGCCCAAACUCCUACGGGAGGCAGCAGUGGGGAAUCUUGCGCAAUGGGCGAAAGCCUGACGCAGCCAUGCCGCGUGAAUGAUGAAGGUCUUAGGAUUGUAAAAUUCUUUCACCGGGGACGAUAAUGACGGUACCCGGAGAAGAAGCCCCGGCUAACUUCGUG